CGUUUGAAUUUGUUGUUUUCAUGUUAGAAGUUUUUUUAGCUGCAGCGAACUCGCCUGUUUGUGUCUAUAGUUAGGUUUUGAUUUUUCCUUUCAGUUACUCUUGAGCUUCGAAACCGAUUUUUCAAGAUGUUCAAACAUCUUCUUAGAAUUACUAUUAUUAGUUUGAUAUUAACGUUGAAAUGGAGGUGGAAUCGACAGAGUUGCCAGCUGUGGUAGUACGGUUUUCGAUCGAAACCUUUCCACUCUCUUUUUCACUUUCUGGAUGUGGAAAGUCUUUGGCUUUCACUGAUAUGGAAGGCCGAAUUCGAGGCCCGCGAUAGCAAGAAAUUCAACAGGAGCUUCGGGAGCAAAUCGUCGUGUCUCAGUCGAAAUCGAGGAGCACCUGGACUUCGUCUGGUCUUCAAAAUGCUAUUAUUUUGCUAUUGUCGGAAAAUGUCAUUCGAAAACGUUGCGUGAAGGCAUUACUCUAUAAUAGUUUGAUUUGAAUUUUGUGGAAUUUUGUUCGUUUAUUUUGUUUGUGUGAAAUCGACAUCGGUCGCUGAAUGGUGUAUUUUUCAUGUAAUUUCAUGGUAUGAUUUUAUUUGUUUUUAUUUAUUUAUUGGAAGCACAUUGCAGUGUACAGACUGUGUCGAAACCGGCCGGUGAACGGUAUUUUGGUGUUCUAUUAAAACCUGCGAAUGA